CAGGUCCUGACUCUGAGGCAGGUCCCGACUCUGAGACAGGUCCUGACUCUGAGGCAGGUCCUGACUCUGAGACAGGUCCUGACUCUGAGGCAGGUCCUGACUCGGAGCCCGGUCCUGACUCGGAGACAGGUCCUGACUCGGAGGCAGGUCCUGACUCAAAACCCGGUCCUGACUCGGAGCCCGGUCCUGACUC